rnacentral:tRNA from 1 species
UCGCGGCAUUUAUUUAAAUAUCCCAUUAGUUUCAGCUGCAAUGGAUACAGUGACUGAGUCACGUAUGGCGAUU